rnacentral:rRNA from 1 species
AUUGAACGCUGGCGGCAGGCCUAACACAUGCAAGUCGAGCGCGCGGCGGACGGGGGAGUAAUGUCUGGGAAACACCGCGAUGGAGGGGGGUAACUACUGGAAACGGUAUCUAAUACCGCGCACCAUAUGAUAUGCCCAGAUGGGAUUAGCUAGUAGGUGGGGUAACGGCUCACCUAGGCGACGAUCCCUAGAUGGUCUGAGAGGAUGACCAGCCACACUGGAACUGAGACACGGUCCAGACUCCUACGGGAGGCAGCAGUGGGGAAUAUUGCACAAUGGGCGCAAGCCUGAUGCAGCCAUGCCGCGUGUAUGAAGAAGGCCUUCGGGUUGUAAAGCACUUUCAGCGGGGAGGCGUUACCCGCAGAAGAAGCACCGGCUAACUCCGUGCCAGCAGCCGCGGUAAUUC